rnacentral:rRNA from 1 species
AGUCGAGGGGUAUAAGUCUUCGGAUUUAGAGACCGGCGCACGGGUGCGUAACGCGUAUGCAAUCUACCUUUCACAGAGGGAUAGCCCAGAGAAAUUUGGAUUAAUACCUCAUAGUAUAGUACCUUGGCAUCAAGGAACUAUUAAAGUCACAACGGUGAAAGAUGAGCAUGCGUCCCAUUAGCUAGUUGGUAAGGUAACGGCUUACCAAGGCUACGAUGGGUAGGGGUCCUGAGAGGGAGAUCCCCCACACUGGUACUGAGACACGGACCAGACUCCUACGGGAGGCAGCAGUGAGGAAUAUUGGUCAAUGGGCGCAAGCCUGAACCAGCCAUGCCGCGCGCAGGAUGACGGUCCUAUGGAUUGUAAACUGCUUUUAUACAGGAAGAAACAACUCUACGUGUAGAGUCUUGACGGUACUGUAGGAAUAAGGAUCGGCUAACUCCGUGCCAGCAGCCGCGGUAAUACGGAGGAUCCAAGCGUUAUCCGGAAUCAUUGGGUUUAAAGGGUCCGUAGGCGGCUUAAUAAGUCAGUGGUGAAAGCCCUACGCUUAACGUAGGAACGGCCAUUGAUACUGUUAGGCUUGAAUUAUUAGGAAGUAACUAGAAUAUGUAGUGUAGCGGUGAAAUGCUUAGAGAUUACAUGGAAUACCAAUUGCGAAGGCAGGUUACUACUAAUGGAUUGACGCUGAUGGACGAAAGCGUGGGUAGCGAACAGGAUUAGAUACCCUGGUAGUCCACGCCGUAAACGAUGGAUACUAGCUGUUGGGAGCAAUCUCAGUGGCUAAGCGAAAGUGAUAAGUAUCCCACCUGGGGAGUACGUUCGCAAGAAUG